rnacentral:rRNA from 1 species
UACGUAGGGGGCAAGCGUUGUCCGGAAUUACUGGGCGUAAAGCGUGCGCAGGCGGUUUGUUAAGCCAGAUGUGAAAGCCCCGGGCUCAACCUGGGAACUGCGUUUGGUACUGGCAAGCUAGAGUACGGCAGAGGGGGGUGGAAUUCCACGUGUAGCAGUGAAAUGCGUAGAGAUGUGGAGGAACACCGAUGGCGAAGGCAGCCCCCUGGGCCGAUACUGACGCUCAGGCACGAAAGCGUGGGGAGCAAACAGG